UGCGAGUCAUAUGUUCUUCGUGAACAUGGCGUACUGCGCAGUAACACGUGGAUAACCUGCCCUUGGGACCGGGAUAACCCCGGGAAACUGGGGAUAAUACCGGAUAACGCAUAUCUGCUGGAAUGCUUUAUGCGUAAAAUGGAUUUGUCUGCCCAAGGAUGGGUCUGCGGCCUAUCAGGUAGUAGUGGGUGUAAUGUACCUACUAGCCUACGACGGGUACGGGUUGUGAGAGCAAGAGCCCGGAGAUGGAUUCUGAGACAUGAAUCCAGGCCCUACGGGGCGCAGCAGGCGCGAAAACUUUACAAUGCGGGAAACCGUGAUAAGGGGACACCGAGUGCCAGCAUCAUAUGUUGGCUGUCCAGAUGUGUAAAAUACAUCUGUUAGCAAGGGCCGGGCAAGACCGGUGCCAGCCGCCGCGGUAACACCGGCGGCCCGAGUGGUGAUCGUGAUUAUUGGGUCUAAAGGGUCCGUAGCCGGUUUGGUCAGUCCUCCGGGAAAUCUGACGGCUCAACCGUUAGGCUUUCGGUGGAUACUGCCAGACUUGGAACCGGGAGAGGUAAGAGGUACUACAGGGGUAGGAGUGAAAUCUUGUAAUCCCUGUGAGACCACCUGUGGCGA
rnacentral:rRNA from 1 species